rnacentral:tRNA from 1 species
UGAGCCAUGGUGUAAUGGUAACACUGCAGAUUUUGGUUCUGUCAUUCUGAGUUCGAGUCUCGGUGGCUCAA